AACGAACGCUGGCGGCAGGCUUAACACAUGCAAGUCGAGCGCCCCGCAAGGGGAGCGGCAGACGGGUGAGUAACGCGUGGGAAUCUACCGUGCCCUACGGAAUAGCUCCGGGAAACUGGAAUUAAUACCGUAUACGCCCUACGGGGGAGAGAUUUAUCGGGGUAUGAUGAGCCCGCGUUGGAUUAGCUAGUUGGUGGGGUAAAGGCCUACCAAGGCGACGAUCCAUAGCUGGUCUGAGAGGAUGAUCAGCCACAUUGGGACUGAGACACGGCCCAAACUCCUACGGGAGGCAGCAGUGGGGAAUAUUGGACAAUGGGCGCAAGCCUGAUCCAGCCAUGCCGCGUGAGUGAUGAAGGUCUUAGGAUUGUAAAGCUCUUUCACCGGUGGAGAUAAUGACGGUAACCGGAGAAGAAGCCCCGGCUAACUUCGUGCCAGCCGCCGCGGUAA
rnacentral:rRNA from 1 species